rnacentral:rRNA from 1 species
AGUGAACGCUGGCGGCAGGCCUAACACAUGCAAGUCGAACGGUAACAGGAAGAAGCUUGCUUCUUUGCUGACGAGUGGCGGACGGGUGAGUAAUGUCUGGGAAACUGCCUGAUGGAGGGGGGUAACUACUGGAAACGGUAGCUAAUACCGCAUAACGUCGCAAGACCAAAGAGGGGGACCUUCUGGCCUCUUGCCAUCGGAUGUGCCCAGAUGGGAUUAGCUAGUAGGUGGGGUAACGGCUCACCUAGGCGACGAUCCCUAGCUGGUCUGAGAGGAUGACCAGCCACACUGGAACUGAGACACGGUCCAGACUCCUACGGGAGGCAGCAGUGGGGAAUAUUGCACAAUGGGCGCAAGCCUGAUGCAGCCAUGCCGCGUGUAUGAAGAAGGCCUUCGGGUUGUAAAGUACUUUCAGCGGGGAGGAAGGGAGUCAAGUUAAUACCUUUGCUCAUUGACGUUACCCGAAGAAGAAGCACCGGCUAACUCCGUG